ACACCACUGGAAAGGUGCCCAGCGGAAACUCAACCACACGGGAAAAGGAAAAGAGGCAACCUACACUAUGAACAUGGAUGUUCCACCCCGGGAAGCUGUGUUAUCUCAGGUCCUGUUGACUAGAGACAUGGAGAUGACUGCGUGAGAAAUAAUACUAUCCCUUCUGGUCGGUGCCAGCUCCAAGUCACCUUGGGUCCCACGGUCCCCAGAGGACUCUCCAUGUUAUCUUAGGAUCACUGAAGCUUCGAGCAAAACUUUCAAUAAUCAUGGAUGGGAAAACCAAAAUAUGCCAUGAGAAAAUCAAAUUUGAACAAUAUAUUUCUACUAAUCCAGCCCUACAGAGGACUUUAGAAGGAAAACUCCAACAGAAGGAGAGUAUCUACACCAAAGAAAAAGCAAGAAAUUAAUCAUCUUACAAUAAACACAAAAGGAGAAAAUCACACACACAUAAUUCCACCUCUAACAACAAAUAUAACAGGAACUGUCAUGCCCCAGUUCUUUGGGAAACCCAGAAGAGCUCA
rnacentral:lncRNA from 1 species